UACAGAGGUCCCAAGCGUUGUUCGGAUUCACUGGGCGUAAAGGGUGCGUAGGCGGUUUGACAAGUCUGAUGUGAAAUCCCGCAGCUUAACUGCGGAACUGCAUUGGAAACUGUUUGACUAGAGGAAUGGAGGGGAGACUGGAAUACUUGGUGUAGCAGUGAAAUGCGUAGAUAUCAAGCGGAACACCAGUGGCGAAGGCGAGUCCCUGGACAACACCUGACACUGAGGCACGAAAGCUAGGGGAGCAAACAGG
rnacentral:rRNA from 1 species